AAGGAUUACAGUCCUUACCUCUGAAGUUAGAACAACGGACUGGAACAAACCCUAGUAUUGUUACUUCCCCUAACCCACGCAGAGAGCACAUAAAGAUUUUAUUUCUUUGAAGGAAAAAGGAGAAAGAAAUAUGUUUGCUCUAACAUGACGCAGAAAUCAAUGAUGAUGCUGUCUUAACUUGCUGAGCUUGGAGAAAGAGAAACGCUAGUAAAAUUUAAUACUCUGAAUCAUCAAAGGAUAAAUGGAAGAAGACAUCUUUAUAAAUCUGCUGUGUGGCCCUAUCUGAAGAGUUUUUAUUCAGAGAACACUAUGUGUUCAUUCUCAUUGUUUGCCCUUGACUUAAAGGGAACAGUCCUGAAGACACCCCAAGGAAGAUUGUUAACAAGAAUCACCAGAGUCUGAAAGAUGAUUCUGAUUCACCCUCCAGAGCUGUGUAGACUCUGAUGGGCCUGCCCAAGGCAAUAACUACUCUCUGCAACACCGAAAUUACAGAAACACCCACGUCACAGGAUUCAGCAUGUGGAUGGACAGGAAAUAAGGGUAGAAGCAACUCUGAUGAGCCUCACAGAGGUCUUUCUGUUCGGGACACAUUGCGAUCUUAGAGACUUCACUCAUUUCAAAGCAAUAGGCUUUAUUCAGCCUUCAUUUUGGGUGUGCAAACAUUUAGCCCCAGAUAAAUGGAGACCCUAUUAUCCACAUUUCAAAGGGUUUUUAACUUUAAAAGCCUUAAAGCAGAUUUUUUUUUCUGGAAAUAGGCUUUUUUUUUUUUCCUUUUGAAAUGAACUAGCUGCAAUUGUAGAAUGCUGGACCUGGAAGAGAUUUCAGAGAUCUUUUACAUACACACACACUCCUGAUCUACAGAAAAGGAAGGAAAAAUCAGUCUGGUUUCCCUAAGUCAAGAGCAAAUUUUUGGAAGGGCUGGAACCAUGUUUUCUGAUUCUCAGUCCUGAGGUUGGUCAGCUGAGAGCAACAAACACAAGAUUUGAAUCAGAUACAAAGAGAAACUGACUUUAGGGCCAUCACAUCGUUCAGAGACAUCUGUUUGUUCAUGAUUUCUACAUUGUAUAACUAUUCAGAGAUACAGCUACAAGAAAUAUUGAAGUAUCAAUAUAAAGAGGAACGAAAAACCACGUGCAUAAUUAUUCUGUGCAGUCACCAGCCCAUCAGAUAUUUUCAGUCUUAUCAAAAUCAACAUGGCAAUAAAAUGUCUCCUUGUCCUUCCAACUUCCUUAUUAAAAGGCAUUAAAUUUGUUUUUCUCACACAUA
ensembl:lncRNA